rnacentral:ribozyme from 1 species
CCCCAGCGAGCCCUGGAAGCCCCCCCUCCACUACACGAACGAGGGAGCCUCAUGUGCCACUAGCACACAUUCAGUCUCUGUUGCGUGACAUUUUAGAAGGCUGCGCCGACAUGCACGCGCGAGGUAUCAU